GGGGUUGUAACUCAAUUGGUAGAGUGCCUGCUUUGCAAGCAGGAAGUUAGGGGUUCGAGUCCCCUCUACUCCA
rnacentral:tRNA from 1 species